UGUAACUUAUCUGAUCGAGUUAGACAUUGAAACAUACUAGCUAACCAAAUUGUGAGACAAAAAGAUAAGGCAACACAACAUCUAAAAUGUGAAUCCUGGACCAUGAAGGUCAUGACCUGUAUGACAAUAACCCAUACAAACAAUGUUAGAAAAGCCUAAAAAAUAUGUACUAGCUAGCCAACGAGGCCGCAACUGAAGAUAUACCUACUCUCUCUCUCUCUCAC
rnacentral:lncRNA from 1 species